CCUACGGGAGGCAGCAGUGAGGAAUAUUGGUCAAUGGACGAGAGUCUGAACCAGCCAAGCAGCGUGAAGGAUGACUGCCCUAUGUAUUGUAAACUUCUUUUAUAAAGGAAUAAAACGAGGCACGUGUGCCUUUUUGCAUGUACUUUAUGAAUAAGGAUCGGCUAACUCCGUGCCAGCAGCCGCGGUAAUACGGAGGAUCCGAGCGUUAUCCGGAUUUAUUGGGUUUAAAGGGGGCGUAGAUGGGUUGUUAAGUCAGUUGGGAAAGUUUGCGGCUCAACCGUAAAAUUGCAAUUGAUACUGGCAGUCUUGAGUACAGUUGAGGUAGGCGGAAUGCGUGGUGUAGCGGUGAAAUGCUUAGAUAUCACGAAGAACCCCGAUUGCGAAGGCAGCUUACUAAACUGUGACUGACAUUGAUGCUCGAAAGUGUGGGUAUCAAACAGGAUUAGAUACCCUUGUAGUC
rnacentral:rRNA from 1 species